CCCGUGUCCCCUGCAUCGACAGGCGGACUAUCAACCACUGCACCACCAGGGAAGCCCUUUAAUAUAUUUUUUGUAAUAUAUUUUUUUAAUUUUAUUUUUGGCUGUGUUGGGUUUUUGUUGCUGCACACGGGCUUUCUCUAGUUGCGGUGAGCGGGGGCUACUCUCGUUGCAGUGCGCGGUGCUUCUCACUGCAGUGGCUUUUCUCAUGGAGCAUGGGCUCUAGGCGCGCGGGGUUCAGUAGUUGCAGCACGCGGGCUCAGUAGUUGUGGCUCACGGGCUCUAGAGCACAGGCUCAGUAGUUGUGGCACACAGACUUAGUUGCUCCGCGGCAUGUGGGAUCUUCCCGGACCAGGGCUCAAACCCGUGUCCCAUGCAUUGGCAGCCAGAUUCUCAACCAUUGCACCACCAGGGAAGCCCCUUCUAGAGUAUUUAUAAUUUCAGUAAUUGUGUUGUUCAUCACUGUUUGUUUGCUCUUUAGUUCUUAUAGAUCCUUGUUAAACGUUUCUUGUAUUUUCUCCAUUCUGUUCCUGUUAUUUUGGAUCAUCUUUACUCUCAUUACUCUGAAUUAUUUUGCAGGUAGGUUGCCUAUUUCGUUUUCAUUUAUUUGGCCUUGUAGGUUUUUACCUUUCUCCUUCGUCUGUAACAUAUUUUUGUUUGUUUGUUUGUUUUUUGAGGGAUGGGGCUGUGUUCCUGUCUUACUGGUUGUUUGGCCUGAGGCAUCCAGCCCUGGAGUUUGCAGGCAGUUGGGUAGAGCCGGGUCUUGGUACCGAGAUGAAGACCUCCGGGAGGCCUCACUGUGAUUGAUAUUCCCUGGGGUCUGAGGUACUCUGUUAGUCCAGCAGUUUGGACUCGGAGCUCCCACCACAGGAGCUUGGGCCCGACCUGGGCACCAAGAUCCCGCAAGCUGUGUGGCACGGCAAAGAAAAAAAGAAAAGAAAAGAAAUAAAGGAGCAGUACAAUAACAAAGAAUAAAAAAUAAAAAUUAGAAAGAUAGAAUUAGGGAAAAUAAAAAUAUAGUUGAGGGCUUCCCUGGUGGUGCAGUGGUUGAGAGUCCGCCUGCCAAUGCAGGGGACACGGGUUUGCGCCCCGGUCUGGGAAGAUCCCACAUGCCACGAGUGGCUGGGCCCGUGAGCCAUGGCCGCUGAGCCUGUGCGUCCGCAGACUGUGCUCCAGAACGGGAGAGGCCACAACAGUGAGAGGCCCGCGUACUGCAAAAAAAAAAAAAAAAAAAAAAAAAAAAAUAUAUAUAUACACAUAUAGUUGAAACAACUGCAACAAAGUAGAACAACCACAACAGAAAAAAGAAAAAAAAAGCCAAAAACCAAAAAACCAGUUGUCUUAUCUUCAAGUUCAUUGAUCUUCCCUCUGCUGCUCAGAUCUGCUCUUGAACCCUCCAGUGAGUUUUUCAUUUCAGUAUUGUACAUUUCAGUCCCACAGUUUCUGCUUGGUACAUUCUGAGCAUCAUUUGAUGCCAACUCUGUAUUGUAAGUCCCCCACCCCUUGGGGUUGCUGCAUCUUGCUUGUUGAGGGUUGGAGCCACCUGUGACUUUUCCUUACUUUUUCAAAGUGUAAUCCCUGAAGUUUCUGUUUAACUUUCCAUGUGGUCAGCCAGUGACCUAACAAAGAUUUCCUUAAAUAUCUAGUUCCCAAAAGGGGAAGAAACAAGUAUCUUUUUAAUUCCCCCUGGAAGCCACUUUUACCCAUUUGAAACCAGUGUUUAAAACAAUGACAGCCAAUGGGCUUCCCUGGUGGCACAGUGGUUGGGAGUCUGCCUGCCAACGCAGGGGACACGGGUUCGAGCCCUGGUCCAGGAGGAUCCCACAUGCCGUGGAGCAGCUGGGCCUGUGCGCCACAGCUGCUGAGCCUGUGCUCUGGAGCCUGUGAGCCACAACUGCUGAAGCCCAUGCGCCUGGAGCCCGUGCUCCCCAACGAGAGAAGCCACUGCAAUGAGAAACCCGUGCGCCGCAACAAAGAGUAGCCCCCACUCACCACAACUAGAGAAAGACAGUGUGCAGCAACGAAGACCCAGUGCAGCCAAAAAUAAAUAAAUUUAUAAAAAACAAAACAAAACAAAAACAAUGACAGCCAAACCUGUGCCAGCCCCGCAGUGGUCAAAAGCAGCAAUCAACCGGCAGAACACAGUUCUCGUGCUUGGAGGAUGGUGGCCUUAUUGCCUGUCCUUCCUCCAGCAAAGCUGUGUCAGAAACGCAGGCCAGCAUCCACAUGGCUGUGUGCCACGGGCCAGGUGAUGGGUGUGCUAGGUGCCGGCCAGCUGUGGAUUCACUGGAAUUUGCUGAAAUUCCCUACCCUCUUCGUCAAGCUCUCUCCUGGAUGCUGCAAGCGUCUGACUAGACUUGAGUUCCAGAAUAGUUACUUUAGAGUUCCUGCCAGCUCAGUGGUCCUUUAGGUGGAGGGACAGAGUCCUGGAGCUUCCUACUCUGCCACCUUCCAGGACAUCACUCCCUGAUAACUGCCUUUGUAACAGUAACAAAAUGUCUACCUAAUUAACAUUUUAGUUUUAUAAAACUUAUCAUUUGGACAUAUAUUAUUCCACAGUGCCUACUUCAGGCCUUUAACUUUUUCUUUUAAAUUGUGUCUUUAGCACACAUUCCUAGGAACAGGAUAAACGUUUUAAAGGACACUGAUGUAAGUAUGCAAAUGCUUUCCAGAGUGGUUGUGCCCAAUACAUAAUGUCACCAGCACUGAAUCCCUGGAAAACUCUGCCUGCCUGCCUGUCAGGGUGCAAAGUUGAGCAGAGCACAGUCUGAUUUCCACUCCACCUUCCUGCAUGGACGUUGUGCUUUUAACCUCUGCUUGCAGAUUAAACGGGCACGACCGUGGCCAGUGCUUCACUAACUGACUGAUUACUCAGGAAACAGCAUUUCUGUGUUUGGGUUUAAAUGGGACCCUCCGCCCUGUCACUGCUUGUGGCCCAGAUGAUCUUUUGUUGGGUUGUCUAAGAACCCCUGCUCUGGGCGGGGGGGGUCCCUUCCACUGGCAUGGAUGUCCCCUGAGCCAGUGGCACCCGAGGGACUGUGGCCUACUUGAAGGGAGCCCCAAAGACCUGGGUUGGGGAGUAGGCUGGAGAGGCAGGGAGGGGCAGAGGGGCAGUGCAGUCUGAAGAAACAUAUUUAAUGGUGAAGCGUACCUGGAAAAAGAAAGGUACGCUGUCGUUUUCAUCGUGCGGAACCAGAGGACACAGUCUGACAGGUUUUCCUGGCUGUUUGGUUUUGGCUUAAUAGGGCUGGUCACACGAGCUGGUGACACAUUUUCACAGGGGCCAAGCAUCCAGCCGGUCUUGGGAUGGGGAGGGAGCACGGGCAGAGGGACCCACUGGUUCUGGAUGUUGGCACUGGGCCGUCUUGGGCGGCCGCCCCUGGGCACCUGGUCAGCUCACUCCUGUGCUGUGUCCUGUUGUCUCCUCAGCUCACGAGAUCAGGAACCAAUUUGUCAGCCUGCGUUUGCGGGUGACAUCAUCCCAGACCACAGGCUGCUUGUUAGAUAUUAAUUGUUAACAGCUCUGGGCAGCUAGCAGUGAGUCAGAUGAGCAGUUGGGGUCAGACAAUCAGACAGUGAGGACCCUGGCCUGUUAGGGGAGGCUCAAGCGUCCCCGAGUAAAGAGGUCAUGGCAGCCACCCUGAAGGUCAUGGGGAGGCCAGGUGAGGUCAUGCUCACGCGUGCAUGUUUGGUGCUCACGUACUAGGUUUUGUGCCUGGCCCUGUGCACACCCUUGGGGCAAAGAUCCAGACAGGACAUCACAUCUGAGCCACAGGGCUGCUGGGAGCUGGACCUGGGCCCUCCCAGCCCUGUCCUUGGGUUGAGCCAGUCCAUGGGUGCCCCCCGGGUGAAUGGCCUCUCUGCUCUCCUGGAGUGGCUGGAGUGGCUGGAGGGGGCCGUGAGGCCUCUCAUGCUUGCCUGGGGAAUCGCCUGCCCCAAUCUGUCCCAGUUUCCUACGUGGGUCUCGGGGUCCCCUGGGGUUGUAGAGUGUUCGGACGCCUCCUCGUGGGGGUGAGUGGCUCCCCUUAACCCCUGUGGUGGUUGCACCUGUCCAGAGUCCCGCAAACUCAGCACGUGGACCACACGGACUGAGGCCUGGGCUGGUCUUCCUGCAGUGACUUAAUUCCACACUGACCCUGUGACAGAACCCCAGGCUCACAAAGGGAAGUGAUUGGCCUGAGGUCACAGUAGUUGCAGGCAGGUCUGGGCUCCAACCCACUCUUUUUUUUUUGGCUGCGUUGGGUCUUCAUUGCUGUGUGCGGUCUUUCUCUAGUUGUGGAGAGUGGGGCUACUCUUCAUAAUGGUGCGCGGGCUUCUCAUUGUCGUGGCUUCUCUUGUGGAGCACGGGCUCUAGGCACGCGAGCUUCAGUAGUUGUGGCGCACGAGCUCAGUAGUUGUGGCGCACGAGGUCAGUAGUUGUGGCGCACAGGCUUAGUUGCUCCGUGGCAUGUGGGAUCUUCCUGGACCAGGGAUAGAACCAGUGUCCCCUGCAUUGGCAGGCGGAUUCUUAACCAGUGCACCACCAGGGAAGUCCCUCCAACCCACUCUUAAUCACCUUUGCAGAAAAGACUACCCUCACCUCAGGAGAGGGCUGGCCUCUGUCCUGGGCUCCUGGAUGGUUGGAAUGUCCUGCCUGAGAAGAGUUAUCUUUGUUUACCUGCAGCCUUGGGCCAUGCGAGGUGGUCUACACCAACAAUGACCUAUGGUGGAGUCCUUGGGCUGCACGGCAUCAGCUCGACCUCUGGAGGGGCUGGAGCCUGAGGUUGGUCAUGUAGGCAGCCAGCUGUCACCGGCCCCAGUAAGAGCUCUGGAUGCCAAGGCUCAGAUGGGCCAGAGACGAGACCCCAGUGCUGUCCCCACCACCGCUCCUCUGACUUUCCUCUGCCCCCGGGCAAGUCCGACUCCUGGGCCUCCACCUCCAGCCUCUCUGUGCACGAGUGGACUUCAGUGCACUAAGCUUCCAGACCUGUGGUCCAGGAGCGCCGCUGCCCCUCAGGGAGCCUCUGGGCUGCCUGGCACCUGCCAGCCACGUCCUGGUGCGCAGUCAUCUUCCUCCAGAGGAGACGGUCACGCUAUUGUGUCCCCAUACCCGACGCAGGUGGACUGUAUUGUCACCGGCAAUGCAUUUUCCUAUCCCUUUACAGCUCUGCAUAUCACAGCAUAGCCUUCACUGAUCGACUGGCAGGGGAGGCACGGUUUUGUUUGGAAUGGGCACCCAUGAGCCUUUCUCAGGCUCUCCUGGUUGGAUUGCCCACUCGUGUGCAACGGCCUCUGAUGUGUAGGAGACCCUUAAGCCAAAGUCACUGAUCUUCCUCCACGCGUAAAUGUGGGUUCCAGGCAUUGCUUUUUUAUUGGAAAAUGUCAGAUUAUACACAGUACACCAAAUUCUAGGUGGUCUAAAAUAUUUUCCAAAUAAUAGAAAAUUUGAAGAGAACUAAGCAUCAGAUUUUUGGUAACUGUAAGGAGAAAUAAUAUAAAGAGAAAGAUUUAAAUACAUAAAAUAUAAAGACUUCGAACUAAAAAAGAAAAAAUCCAAAGUAAGUGUGAAUGCUGCUGACAAGUCAGAGGUGGGAGAUAAUGGCUGAGAAUGGUGUCACCAGAGUGAGGGGGACCCCAAAGGUCAUUCCAACCUCUGAUGGGACUUCCAAAAAGGGCAGACUGCCCUUAGGUCCCAGCAGGUCACGUGCUACUCCUGCUUCUUGGAAAGGCAAGUGGCAAAAAUGCAUGUUCCAGGCUCCUUCCCAGGGAGAGGGGUGCUACAGCUCGCCACCCAGGUCAGUGCAGCUGAGAGCAAGAAUGACAGAGUAAGUGCGCUUCCUUUGGCAAGGUGGGAAAGCAAACUAUACAUUUUGCAAUGAUUUCCCCGAAAACCCUAACUUACUUGGAAGAUUUAGCAAUCAGAAUGAUUUGCACUGUGUAACUCAAGUUGUCCUGUGAUGUUUCCAAAAAAACAUCCCUGUACAUUGAAACUACCUGACCUCUUAUUUUCAUCUUGACUACAACAUGACCAUUUCUUUUUUUUUUCCAACAGAGCAUUACCUUUUUCUUCCCUUUUUAAAAAAACAAUAUAUAUUUUUAAUUGAAAUAUAGUUGAUUAACAAUGUUGUGUUAAUUUCUGCUGUGCAGCAAUGUGAUUCAGUUAUACAUAUAUAUGUAUAUAUAUAUGUAUAUAUUCUUUUCUAAAAUAUUCUUUUCCAUUAUGGUUUAUCAUAUGAUAUUGAAUAUAAUUCUCUGUGCUAUACAGUAGUCCUUGUUUAUCCAUUAAACAUUAACAUUAUAUAUAAAAGCUUCCAUCUGCUAACCUCAACCUCCCACUUCAUCCCUCCCCAACCCCCUCCCCCUUGGCAACCAAUAGUCUGUUCUCUAUGUCCAAGAUUCUGUUUCAAAAAUAGGUUCAUUUGUGUCAUAUUUUAGAUUCUACAUAUAAGUGAUAUCAUAUGGUAUUUGUCUUUUUCUUUAUGACUUACUUCACUUAGUAUGAUAAUCUCUAGUUGCAUCUAUUGCUGCUGCUAAUGGCAUUAUUUUGUUCUUUUUUAUGGCAGAAUAGUAUUCCAUUGUAUAUAAAUAGACCCCAUCUUUAUCCAUUCAUCUGUCAAUGGACAUUUAGGUUGCUUCCAUGUUUUGGCUAUUGUGAAUAGUGCUGCUAUGAGCAUAGGGGUGCAUGUAUCUUUUUAGAUUAGUUUUGUCUGUAUAUAUUCCCAGGAGUAGGAUUGCUGGAUAUGAUAGUUCUAUGUUUAGUUUUCUGAGGAAUCUCCAUGCUGUUCUCCAUAGUGGUUGUACCAGUUUACAUUCCCACCAGCAGUGUAGGAGGGUUCCCUUUUCUCCACACCCUCUCCAGUAUUUGUUAUUUGUAGACUUUUUAAUGAUGGCCAUUCUGACUGGUGUGAGGUGGUACCUCAUUGUAGUUUUGAUUUGCAUUUCUCUAAUAAUUGGCAAUGUUGUGCAUUUUAUCACGUGGCUGUUGGCCAUCUGUAUUUCCUCUUUGAAGAAAUAUUUGUUUAGGUUUUUCUGCCCACUUUUUAACUGGGUUGUUUUUUUUGUUGUUGUUGAGUUGUAUGAGCUGUUUGUACAUUUUAGAAAUUAAGCCCUUGUCAUUUGUUUGUAAACAUUUUCUCCCACUCUGUACAUUGUCUUUUUGUUUUGCUUAUGGUUUCCUUUGCUGUGCAAAAGUUUGUAAGUUUGAUUAGGUCCCAUUUGUUUAUUUUUGUUUUUAUUUCUAUUUCCUUGGGAGACUGACUGCCUCAGGUACGAUUUGUCAGGCAAUGUUUUGCCUAUGUACUCUCCCAUGAGUUUUAUGGUGUCAUGUCUUAUGUUUAAGACUUUAAGCCAUUUUGAGUUUGUUUAUGGUGAGAGUGUUCUAACUUCAUUGAUAUACAUGCAUCCAACUUUCCCAACACCACUUGCUGAAGAGACUGUUUUUUUUUCUUUUACCAUUGUAUAUUCUUGCCUCCUUUGCCAAAGAUUAAUUGACCAUGGGUGUGUGGGCCUGUUUCUGGGCUAUUCUGUUCCAUUGACUCAUAUGUUGGUUUUUGUGCCAAUACCACAGUUUUGAUUACUGUAGCUUUGUACUGAGUUGGCCAAAAAGUUCAGGUUUUUCCAUAAGAUGUUACAGAAAAACCCGAACGAACUUUUUGGCCAACCCAAUAGUAUUGUCUCAAAUCUGGGACGGUUAUGCUUCCUGCUUUAUUCUUUUUUAUAAAUUUAUUUAUUAAUUUAUUUUUGGCUGCAUUGGGUCUUCAUUGCUGGAACUUGUGUCCCCUGCAUUGGCAGACGGAUUCUUAACCACUGCGCCACCAGGGAAGUCCCCUGCCUUGUUCUUUUUCCUCAGGAUUUCUUUGGCAAUUCUGGGUAUUUUAUAGUUCCAUAUGAAUUUUAGGAUUAUCAGUUCUAGAAGUUUUCGUGUGGAGUCUUUAGGGUCUUCUACAUAUUUAGUUGGUGAAAAAGUGCCUUUGGCUUUUAAGUAAAAAUAAAAGACACACUUUUAAUUUUCACCAAGAAUUUUAUUGAACAACGUAUUCACUCUUUUGUUCUACCUUCCGCCAUUUUUCAGGCAACUUCAUAAUUCCAUCUUCCCAAAACUUUUUUUUUAAAAUAUUUAUUUAUUUAAUUUAUUUACCUUUGGCUGUGUUGGGUCUUUGUUGCUGCAUGUGGGCUUUCUCUAGUUGCGGCGAGCAGGGGCUACUCUUUGUUGUGGUGUGCAGGCUUCUCAUUGUGGUGGCUUCUCUUGUUGCAGAGCACGGGCUCUAGGCGUGUGGGCUUCAGUGGUUGUGGAAUGCAGGCUCAGUAGUGGCUCCCGGGCUCUAGAGCACAGGCUCACCAGUUGUGGUGCACGGGCCUAGUUGCUCCGCGGCAUGCAGGACCUUCCCGGACCAGGGCUUGAACCGUGUCCCCUGCAUUGGCAGGCGGAUUCUUAACCACUGCGCCACCAGGGAAGCUCCCACAAAACUUUUUGAGCAAAGAACUGUUCCGGGUGCCUUUUACAGUCUUCCAGGGAGUUGAAAUUUUUUCCAUUAAGAGAAUUUUGUAAAGACCUAAAUAAAUGGAAAUCCAAAGGUGCAAUGUCUGGUGAAUAUGGCGGAUGAAUCAGAACUUCCCAGCCAAGUUGUAGUAGUUUUUGCCUGGUCAUCAAAGAAACUAGUGGUCUUGCAUUAUCCUGAUGGAAGAUUAUGCGUUUUCUGUUCACUAAUUCCAGAUGCUUUUCAAUGAGUGCUGCUUUCAUUUGGUCUAAUUGGGAUCAGUACUUGUUGGAAUUAAUCGUUUGGUUUUCCGGAAGGAGCUCAUAAUAGAGGACUCCCUUCCAAUCCAUAUACACAACAUCACCUUCUUUGGAUGAAGACUGGCCUUUGGUGUGGCUGGUGAUGGUGCAUUUCUCUUGCCCCACGAUCUCUUCCAUUUCACAUUAUUGUACAGUAUCCACUUUUCAAUCACCCAUCACAAUUUGUUUUAAAAAUGGAACAUUUUCAUUAUGUUUAAGUAGAGAAUUGCAUGGGAAAUACAGUCAAGAAGUUUUUCUCUGCUUAUGUGGAAUGCAAACAUCAAAGUGAUGAACAUAACCAAGCUGGUGCAAGUGAUUUUCAACGCUUGAUCUGGAUAUUUUGAGUACGUUGGCUAUCUCCUGUGUGGUAUAAUAUUGACUGCUCUCAAUUAAUGUUCUCUGUUUGAUCGCUAUCAACUUCAACUGGUCUACCCGACCACAGAGCAUCAUCCAGCGAGAAAUCUCCAGUACGACUUUGCAAACCACUUUUGACACGUUCGGUCCGUCACAGCACCUUCUCCAUACACUGCACAAAUCUUUUUUUUGCAUUUAGGUUGUGUUUUUACCUUUUUUGAAAUAAUAAAGCAUAAUAUGCUGAAAAUGUUGCUCUUUUUCUUCCAUCUUCAAUAUUAAAAU